rnacentral:lncRNA from 1 species
AGAUUGUCUACUGAUAAUUUUUCUUGUGUAUUUCCAAACUUGGAAUCAAACAUCCAAGCAUUGGGAAUGAAGGUGUGUGCCGCCGCCACCACCACCACCUAGGCCUUAAGUGAGUCUCUUUCACUUAUUUCUGAAACAGUCAUGCUUUAUAGCCUUGGCCUCCUAAAACUUGCUAUGUCUCAUAAAGACACACAAAGGGCAGCGUCUGUGUGGGGACUAGGAAUGUUACUGUUGGUAAAGUGCUUGCCUACAGGAUGGAGAGAUAGCUCAGUGGUUAAGAGCACUUAAGAGGUCCCAGCACCCACAACCAUCAGUAAUGCUAUCUGAUGCCCUUUUCUGGUAUAUCUGAGGACAGAGACUGUACUCACAUAAGAUAAAUAAAAACCUUUUUUGUUUUGUUUUUUAGAGACAAGGUUUCUCUGUAUAGGCCUCAAACUCAGAAAUCGCCUGCCUCUGCCUCCCAAGUGCUAUAGAAUUAAAGGUGUGCACCACCACUGCCCAGCAAUAAAAAUUAAAAAAAAAAAAAAAAGGUGCUUGCCUGCUAUGUACAAAGGCUUGAGCCAAACCACUACAUAAACCAGGUCAGGAGACGGAGGAUCAAAAAUUCAAGGUCAUUCUUGGCUACUGAGGAAGUCUUAGGCUAGCCUAGGCUUCCUGAAAAACAACUUGGGAGGAGCAGUAUAGAAAUGGAUAAACAGGUCAAAGAGCUUGCUUGCUCUUUUAGAAGACCUAAGUUCAAUUCUGCACCCACAUUGGAUAUUUUCAAAACUGCCAGUGGCUCCAGGGAAGACCCCCUCCUCUGGCUUCCAUGGGCACCUGCACAUACACAAAUAAAAAUAUGGUGGUAUAUACCUAUAUAUUUGCCCAGUACUCAGGAGGCUCUGUCAGGAUAGUCCUGAGUCUGAAAUCAGCCUAGUUUAUAUAAAUACCUAUAUGAAAAGAAAUACAUCUUUUUUAUUCAUUUAUUUUGGCUUUUCAAGGCAGGGUUUCUCUGGGUAGCCCUGGCUGUCCUGGAAUGUAGAGAUCUACCUGCCUCUUCCUUCUGAGUGCUGGGACUAAAGGCUGGCACCACUACACCCAGCUAGUAAAUUUUUAUUAAAAACAAAACUUAAUUUAGGGUGACCUGGUGAGAUGGCACAGCAGUUUAGAAUACUGGCUGUUCUUCCAGAGGCCCUGAGCUAAAUAACCAGCCACCACAUAUGGCUCACAACCAUCUAUAAGGAAUCUGAUUCCCUCUUCUGACAUGUAGACAGAAUAUUCCUAUGUCUGACAAAAAAAAUACAUACAUAAAUAAAUCUUGCUGGGCAAUUGUGGUGCAUACCUUUAAUCCUAGUACUUAGGAGACAGAGGCAGACAGAUCCCCGAGUUUGAGGUCAGCAUGGUAUACAGAAUGAGUUCUAGGAUAGGCAGGGCUACAUAAACUAUCUGGAAAAAAAAACAAUUUUUUUUUUUAACAGCCAGAUAUGUUGGUACACACUUUCCUUAAUCCCAAUAUGCAGGAGGCAGAGGUAGCCACAUAGUGAGUUACAAGCCAGCCAGAACUACAUAGUAAGGUGUCAAAACCAAAUAAAAAUGUAAAUGAGGAAAAUACCUAAUAAAAAUAU